rnacentral:lncRNA from 1 species
GGAAUUCUUGUUAUACAUGUGUAUAUGAGCAUGUAGUGUGAUGGGUGUGUUGGAGGAAGGAGUGGGUGUUAAUGGAAAUGCAUUGACAGAGGAAAAAUGGUGUUAUAUGAAGUGAAAAUGUGAAAAUGUGAGUGGACCAAUUGAUUGGUCCCUGUCAUCAAUCGAACGCACAACCUUUUGUUUUGCAGAAAAAUGUGAUUUUUAUAGGACCAAUCGAUUGACAGUGUAUUACAAUCGAUUGCACAAACCUUCUGUUUAUGAACAAUGGAAAAUUUGAGUGAGCCAAUCGAUUGACACUGAGGAUCAAUCGAUUGAUCCUCUGCGAACUUUGAGAAACAACAAU